GACGAACGCUGGCGGCGUGCUUAACACAUGCAAGUCGAACGGUGAAGCGCGUGCUUGCACUCGUGGAUCAGUGGCGAACGGGUGAGUAACACGUGAGUAACCUGCCCAUCACUCUGGGAUAAGUACUGGAAACGGUGUCUAAUACUGGAUACGACCACCUCCUGCAUGGUGUGGUGGUGGAAAGAUUUAUCGGUGAUGGAUGGACUCGCGGUCUAUCAGCUUGUUGGCGGGGUAAUGGCCCACCAAGGCGACGACGGGUAGCCGGCCUGAGAGGGUGACCGGCCACACUGGGACUGAGACACGGCCCAGACUCCUACGGGAGGCAGCAGUGGGGAAUAUUGCACAAUGGGCGAAAGCCUGAUGCAGCGACGCCGCGUGAGGGAUGACGGCCUUCGGGUUGUAAACCUCUUUCGGCAGUGAAGAAGCGAAAGUGACGGUACCUGCAGAAGAAGCACCGGCUAACUACGUG
rnacentral:rRNA from 1 species